GCCCGCCUAGCUCAAUCGGAUAGAGCGUCAGACUCUUAUAUAGUCAGUGGGCAUCUGAAGGCUGCGAGUUCGACCCUCGCGGUGGGCU